AGGGAUAUAACUCAGUGGUAGAGUGCCAUCUUGACGUGAUGGAAGUCAUCAGUUCAAAUCUGAUUAUCCUUA
rnacentral:tRNA from 1 species